rnacentral:rRNA from 1 species
UUUCCCAGGCGAGGUGCCGCCGGAGUACUACGAAUGUUUAAAAUUCAAAGAACUUGGCGGUCGACUAACCUACCAGGGGAACAUGUGCCUUAAUUCGAUGAUCCACGAUGUACCUUACCUUGCCUUGUAAAGAGUCAGCCGCUAUACCGCCGUUGUUUUUUCAGUAAAGCGAAGCUUAGAGGGGGAGGAUCCCACCACAAGGCAGGUUUAGGUAGCGCCCAAGGCGAGGGGAGUAUGUGUUACAACCCUGACUUUGGAUUACGGGCGGAGAUGAAGGUGAACUUGGCAGUAAAUCGAGAGUAAUGAGCUUGGUUGAAGAGAUGAAA